GAUGAACGCUGACAGAAUGCUUAACACAUGCAAGUCUUUGGCGAAGCUGUGCUUGCACAGCCUAGCCAAGGCGGACGGGUGAGUAACGCGUAAGGAACUUGCCCUGCAGUCAGGGAUAACAGACGGAAACGACUGAUAAGACCUGGUAAAGUCAGGCGGACUCAUGUCCAGCCUGAUGAAAAGAGAUGCUGCAGGAGAGCCUUGCGUCCUAUUAGCUUGUUGGUGGGGUAACGGCCCACCAAGGCGAUGAUAGGUAGCCGGCCUAAGAGGGUGGACGGCCACAAGGGGACUGAGAUACGGCCCUUACUCCUACGGGAGGCAGCAGUGGGGAAUAUUGGACAAUGGGGGCAACCCUGAUCCAGCAAUUCUGUGUGCACGAUGAAGGUUUUCGGAUUGUAAAGUGCUUUCAGCAGGGAAGAAAAAAAUGACGGUACCUGCAGAAGAAGCGACGGCUAAAUACGUG
rnacentral:rRNA from 1 species